rnacentral:rRNA from 1 species
UUUUAAAGAUAAACUUAACUAUCCGGGGAGUGUGGGCGCAAUUGCUUGAAAUCCAAAAGGCUUGGCGGUGCCUUUAUCAAAUCAGGGGAGCUUGUUUCGUAAUCGAUAAUCCACGAUAGACCUUACCAUUCUUAAGGUUUAUAUACCGCCGUCGUCAGCCAACCCCGAAAGGAAAAGAAGUUGGCUUUAAAAGAUUUCUUAUCUUUUAUGUCAGGUCAAGGUGUAGCUUAUGGGGUGGAGCAAGUGAGCUACUAUUUAUAAUUAUAACGAAUUCAGUUCUUAAAGUAGAUUGAUGAAGGAGGACUUGAUAGUAAAUUUUUAUUAUAAAAAUGAAUUGAAGCUAAUUUAAGGUGUGUACAUAUCGCCCGUCGCUCUCGCUGAAAAACGAGAUAAGUCGUAACAUAGUAGGGGUAAAGGAAUUUGCUCCUG